rnacentral:rRNA from 1 species
CCUACGGGGCGCUGCAGUGGGGAAUAUUGGACAAUGGGCGAAAGCCUGAUCCAGCCAUGCCGCGUGUGUGAAGAAGGCCUUCGGGUUGUAAAGCACUUUCAGUGGGGAAGAAAGCCUUGGGGCUAAUACCCUCGAGGAAGGACAUCACCCACAGAAGAAGCACCGGCUAACUCCGCGCCAGCAGCCGCGGUAAUACGGAGGGUGCGAGCGUUAAUCGGAAUUACUGGGCGUAAAGCGCGCGUAGGCGGUCUGAUAAGCCGGUUGUGAAAGCCCCGGGCUCAACCUGGGAACGGCAUCCGGAACUGUCAGGCUAGAGUGCAGGAGAGGAAGGUAGAAUUCCCGGUGUAGCGGUGAAAUGCGUAGAGAUCGGGAGGAAUACCAGUGGCGAAGGCGGCCUUCUGGACUGACACUGACGCUGAGGUGCGAAAGCGUGGGUAGCAAACAGGAUUAGAUACCCUGGUAGUC